rnacentral:lncRNA from 1 species
UUUUUGCACCAUUAUGGUUAUGUAUAGCCCAAUUCAAAUAUGACUCGCUAUUCAUUACCUUAAUACUACCCACCAUCUCUUUCCAAGUAAAACAAAAACCAAAACAAACAAUACACUACAAAUAAAUUCCAAAAAUCUGAAACUUCGGCAGAGAAUCAUUUUGCUUUUAACGUCGAAAAAUUCCCCCAAAAAAAAAAGGCUCUUGAAACAGCUCACACAAUGCCUUUACUUCAGUUUUGCCUCUCUCUCUCCCCCUUAUGAGGAUAUACAAUGAAGGUUAACCAAAAAAUGUAAAUGGCUACAACCCUGAGAGUGAUGGAUCUGGAGUUCCAGAAAAGGUGAAGGAAUAAAUGUGGUUUUAUUGCUUCAUAAGCAAUCUGGACGGCGCUCGACCACCAACAAAAGCCAUAUGCUUCCGCAAGGUUUACUGUUACAUUUUCCCAGGUUUACUCAACCCAUUCUCCUUCAAUUUCUCUAUAAUGUCACCUGUAAUUUUACAUGCUAUAAUCAAAUUCAAAAAACUAAAAGAUACAGACAAAAUUUAACACAAGAUCAUGCAUGCCAAGCUGUGAGAAAUUCCAAAUAAAGACUCCAAAAUAACAGUUAGACAUCAAAUUAAUGACAAGCAAUCAAGGAAACAUACAACACAAGGUUCAAAGUCAUCAGAAAAAGAAUUGAGAGAGAGCGUUUGAAGAUGUCACUGAUCCUCCGAAGCCUUGGGCCAAAAAUUUUGUCGUGUUCUUAUAUUUCUUGUGAUCUAUUUUGAGAAUUUUUCAGUUGAGUCACAAAGUGGUAAAUACUCUGGGACCAACACCAACCCUAUUAUCUGAUCGCCUGGUAAUAAAAUCCCAGUAUAUACGGCGAAGUUUGCAGAUGUGCACGAUUAUGGCUGCAGAUUUACACCCUAGUGUUCAGAAUCAAGCCUAAAGCCAUUAAAACACGCUUACAACAUAGUGUUUCAAUGAAGUCCCAUUGCUCUUUGAUGAGGAAUGGGCAACAAAACUAACUGAAUCAAGCUUGGAUAGAGGUUGUGUUUGGCUGCUUUUUUUUAGUUGAGUUGCUAAAGGUUUAGCCAAUCUCCAUAAUGAGCUCAAAUUAUGUAUUCCUCUGUAUAGUAUGCUAUGUUUGACUUAGCAAUAUCAUAACUUGAAACUAAUAAGUAUGGCAGAGAAAGUCUACGCGCGGAGAGGUUCUCUCUCUCCGCACUGCUCAGAGAAGGUCUAUGCGUGUGGAGAGUCUCUCCGCUCUCCGCUCUCCGCUUAGGGAGGAGACAACUCUCCAUGCAGGCGAAGAGGUUCUCUCUCUCCCCGCUAGUUGAUUUUGC